ACAGAACAAAAGACCGAAAGUAC
rnacentral:siRNA from 1 species